rnacentral:rRNA from 1 species
UACGUAGGGGGCAAGCGUUGUCCGGAAUCAUUGGGCGUAAAGAGCGUGUAGGCGGCUCGGUAAGUCCGCUCUGAAAGCCCGGGGCUCAACCCCGGGAGGCGGGCGGACACUGUCGGGCUAGAGUCCGGAAGAGGCGAGUGGAAUUCCUGGUGUAGCGGUGAAAUGCGCAGAUAUCAGGAGGAACACCAAUGGCGAAGGCAGCUCGCUGGGACGGUACUGACGCUGAGACGCGAAAGCGUGGGGAGCAAACAGG